rnacentral:rRNA from 1 species
AUUGAACGCUGGCGGCAUGCCUUACACAUGCAAGUCGAACGGCAGCACGGGGGCAACCCUGGUGGCGAGUGGCGAACGGGUGAGUAAUGCAUCGGAACGUACCCGGAAGUGGGGGAUAACGUAGCGAAAGUUACGCUAAUACCGCAUAUUCUGUGAGCAGGAAAGAGGGGGAUCGCAAGACCUCUUGCUUUCGGAGCGGCCGAUGUCGGAUUAGCUAGUUGGUGGGGUAAAGGCCUACCAAGGCGACGAUCCGUAGCGGAUCUGAGAGGAUGAUCCGCAACACUGGGACUGAGACACGGCCCAGACUCCUACGGGAGGCAGCAGUGGGGAAUUUUGGACAAUGGGGGAAACCCUGAUCCAGCCAUGCCGCGUGAGUGAAGAAGGCCUUCGGGUUGUAAAGCUCUUUCGGCCGGGACGAAAUCGCACUUCCUAAUACGGGGUGUGGAUGACGGUACCGGAAUAAGAAGCACCGGCUAACUACGUGCCAGCAGCCGCAGUAAUAC